UUAUUCCAGUGUGUAAAAUUUUUCAUCAUAUUUUUGGCAGGAGUAAUACUCUGUGCUCCCUAUCCUGUCUGUCCUUCUCUACUGCUGUGUGUAAACCAGAGCAGCAAGUUAAUCAGCAGCCUUUGGAGCAUUUCUGCCUCCCACUCUUACAGGAUGUUUGUAGAAGGGCAUGAAGAAAAAGAACUAAAGAUAAAGCAUGCAGAGGAAGAGCACGGGGCUGAAGAGCUGAAGGAAUGAAUGCAGGCUUACUUCUGAAAAAAAAGUUGUCUAAACUCCUUCUCUGCUGCAGUCACCCUGCAUCCCAGCUUCAUGGUCAGGGAAUUUCUCCUCAGACAGUUGCCCAAGCCCUGGUAACUGCUCACAGGGAGAGGCUACCUGAAUAGACCACUGCUUGCACUGGGGUAGAACAGUGUGGUGGAGAUGGCAAAUGCCUGGGCUGUGUUGGCAGAAGCUGGGCCUGUCACCGUGCCCUCACCCUGCCAAGUUCCUUUCUCAUGGCAGCAUACCAUUUCUUCUUCAGGGAGACAAAAUAACUGCAUAGUAACUGUAUAAUUCAUGCCUCUUUUUAUAUGCCCAUGCACAUUGCUCUGCCAUUGUAUGGGCCCAGAUGUAGAACUGGGACUAAGGAAUGACCAAAGAUGUUACUGAAAAGGAAUUGGAAACUGGAGGAAUCAGAAACGUUCAGGUGGUCUGCUACCCUUAUUCCAGGAAGCUGUGUUCCAGGGAUCAUGAUCUUGUCUUCCUACUGAAUAAUCUGAGAGCCUCAGCUCCAGUGAGGACACUGGAUUCUUCUAGGCUCUUCUUACUGCACUAGUUUGCUAUGUCCAAAUAUCAUGUUUUCCUCCCAGCAUAGAGCAGCAUACAGAAUCCCUAGAGAUGUGACAAACAUUUCCUCUUUCCCCCUACAUUAAAAAAAUAAAUUCAGAACAAAUGUUUUUUGACUUAUUAAA
rnacentral:lncRNA from 1 species